UAGGUAUUUCAGCCUAUUCUUGACCACUUCGAAUGUUGAGGCCACACUACCUCCCUGUGCAGUUUUCAUCAGAGAAGAGAGAGGGACCUGACCCUUCUAAGAAAAAAGAAAGAAAAAACACCUCCGUUGUGUGUUCAGACGCGCACGUGUGUUUUUUUUCACGUUCCGGCAGAGCCGCUGCCUGGCUGCAGCCUCCUCUGAGCUGCAGUCGCAGGCGGCACGGGCGUUUUUAAGCAGGGUGACUUGCUGUCGAGUGGCUGCUCUUCUGCUCCCGGGACCAUCAGUCUUGUCUUGAACUCCCGGUCCUGCUGGUCUGCCCGCUCAGGCUCAUCUUUCUGGGGCAGACUUAUUUACGGAGCCGCGGCAAAGGGACCCUUCCAUGAAGACUGAGGCAGGCGUAGCUGCUGAGAGCCUGCUGACAUGACAUCGGCCACGGAGUUUGAAAACGUGGGCAACCAGCCACCGUACAGCCGGAUCAAUGCCCGCUGGGAUGCCCCGGACGAUGAGCUGGAUAAUGACAACAGCUCAGCCAGGCUCUUUGAGAGGUCCCGGAUCAAGGCCU